rnacentral:rRNA from 1 species
AGGAUUAGAUACCCUAGUAUAUAUAAAAUUAUUGAAAUUAAUAUGUAAUGAAAUUUAAUAAUUUUGGCGGUUAAUUAUUAAUUAGAGGAGCUUGUUAUUUAUAGAAAUUACUCUUUAUAUCUUAUUUUGAAAAGUUUAUUCAUCUCCGUUAUUAGAUAAUUGAUUUAUUUAAGAAUAUAAAGUAAUUAAAAAUUUCAGGUCAAGAUGUAGCUAUUAAAAAUUUAUAGUUAGCUACAGUUUUUAAAAAAUGGACUUUUAAUUUUAAUUUUAUUGUAAAAUUGAAUUUGAUUGUAAUAUUAAUUAGAAUGUUAAUAUGAAUAAUGUUAAUUAAUGUACAGAUUGCCCGUCACUUCUGUUAUAAAAAAAUAGGAUAAGUCGUAA